CCUACGGGAGGCAGCAGUGAGGAAUAUUGGUCAAUGGGCGCGAGCCUGAACCAGCCAAGUAGCGUGAAGGAUGACUGCCCUACGGGUUGUAAACUUCUUUUGUAAAGGAAUAAAGUGAGGCACGUGUGCCUUUUUGUAUGUACUUUAUGAAUAAGGAUCGGCUAACUCCGUGCCAGCAGCCGCGGUAAUACGGAGGAUCCGAGCGUUAUCCGGAUUUAUUGGGUUUAAAGGGAACGUAGAUGGGUUGUUAAGUCAGUUGUGAAAGUUUGCGGCUCAUCCGUAAAAUUGCAAUUGAUACUGGCAGCCUUGAGUACAGUUGAGGUAGGCGGAAUUCGUGGUGUAGCGGUGAAAUGCGUAGAUAUCACGAAGAACUCCGAUUGUGAAGGCAGCUUACUAAACUGCCACUGACAUUGAUGCUCGAAAGUGUGGGUAUCAAACAGGAUUAGAUACCCUGGUAGUC
rnacentral:rRNA from 1 species